GCCUGGGUGGCUCAGUUGGUUGAGCGUCCGACUUCAGCUCAGUCAUGAUCUCGCAGUUUGUGAGUUCAAGCCCCACAUCAGGCU
rnacentral:tRNA from 1 species